GUGACCUCAAAUCAGGUAGGACUACCCGCUGAACUUAAGCAUUUUAUCAAUAAGCGGAGGAAAAGAAACU
rnacentral:rRNA from 1 species